rnacentral:rRNA from 1 species
UACGGUAGGGGCUAGCGUUGUCCGGAAUCAUUGGGCGUAAAGAGCGUGUAGGCGGCCCGGUAAGUCCGCUGUAAAAGUCAAAGGCUCAACCUUUGAAUGUCAGUGGAUACUGCCGGGCUAGAGUCCGGAAGAGGCGAGUGGAACUCCUGGUGUAGCGGUGGAAUGCGCAGAUAUCAGGAAGAACACCAACGGCGAAGGCAGCUCGCUGGGACGGUACUGACGCUGAGACGCGAAAGCGUGGGGAGCGAACAGG